UCAACACCUCUGUUGUGGUUCA
rnacentral:siRNA from 1 species